UAAGGAAUAUUGGGCAAUGGACGCAAGUCUGACCCAGCCAUGCCGCGUGGAGGAUGAAGGUCCUCUGGAUUGUAAACUUCUUUUAUCUGGGAAGAAAUCCAUAUUUUCUAAUGUGGUUGACGGUACCAGAUGAAUAAGCACCGGCUAACUCCGUGCCAGCAGCCGCGGUAAUACGGAGGGUGCAAGCGUUAUCCGGAUUCACUGGGUUUAAAGGGUGCGUAGGUGGGCAGGUAAGUCAGUGGUGAAAUCUCCGAGCUUAACUCGGAAACUGCCGUUGAUACUAUCUGUCUUGAAUAUCGUGGAGGUUAGCGGAAUAUGUCAUGUAGCGGUGAAAUGCUUAGAUAUGACAUAGAACACCGAUUGCGAAGGCAGCUAACUACACGAUCAUUGACACUGAGGCACGAAAGCGUGGGGAGCAAACAG
rnacentral:rRNA from 1 species